rnacentral:rRNA from 1 species
UACGUAGGUGGCAAGCGUUGUCCGGAUUUAUUGGGUUUAAAGGGUGCGUAGGCGGCCCUAUAAGUCAGUGCUGAAAUAUCCCGGCUUAACCGGGAGGGUGGCAUUGAUACUGUAGGGCUUGAGUAAAGUUGAGGUUGGCGGAAUUGACGGUGUAGCGGUGAAAUGCUUAGAUAUCGUCAAGAACACCGAUAGUGUAGACAGCUAACUAAGCUUUAACUGACGCUGAGGCACGAAAGUGUGGGGAUCAAACAGG